UACCACUAGUGGUCGCGCCUGGCAGGCCAACACUACUAGUCACGCCUGGCAGGGCACCACUAGUGGUU
rnacentral:pre_miRNA from 1 species